rnacentral:rRNA from 1 species
ACGAGCGCUGGCGGCGCGCCUAACACAUGCAAGUCGAACGAGAGAGGAAGAGCUUGCUUUUCCGAUCGAGUGGCGAACGGGUGAGUAACGCGUGAGGAACCUGCCUCAAAGAGGGGGACAACAGUUGGAAACGACUGCUAAUACCGCAUAAGCCCACGGCCCGGCAUCGAGCAGCGGGAACAGGAGCAAUCCGCUUUGAGAUGGCCUCGCGUCCGAUUAGCUAGUUGGUGAGGUAACGGCCCACCAAGGCGACGAUCGGUAGCCGGACUGAGAGGUUGAACGGCCACAUUGGGACUGAGACACGGCCCAGACUCCUACGGGAGGCAGCAGUGGGGAAUAUUGCACAAUGGGGGAAACCCUGAUGCAGCGACGCCGCGUGGAGGAAGAAGGUCUUCGGAUUGUAAACUCCUGUUGUUGAGGAAGAUAAUGACGGUACUCAACAAGGAAGUGACGGCUAACUACGUGCCAGCCGCCGCGGUAA